rnacentral:rRNA from 1 species
GAUGAACGCUGGCGGCGUGCCUAAUACAUGCAAGUCGAGCGAACGGACGAGAAGCUUGCUUCUCUGAUGUUAGCGGCGGACGGGUGAGUAACACGUGGAUAACCUACCUAUAAGACUGGGAUAACUUCGGGAAACCGGAGCUAAUACCGGCUGAUAUUUUGAACCGCAUGGUUCAAAAGUGAAAGACGGUCUUGCUGUCACUUAUAGAUGGAUCCGCGCUGCAUUAGCUAGUUGGUAAGGUAACGGCUUACCAAGGCAACGAUGCAUAGCCGACCUGAGAGGGUGAUCGGCCAAACUGGAACUGAGACACGGUCCAGACUCCUACGGGAGGCAGCAGUAGGGAAUCUUCCGCAAUGGGCGAAAGCCUGACGGAGCAACGCCGCGUGAGUGAUGAAGGUCUUCGGAUCGUAAAACUCUGUUAUUAGGGAAGAACAUAUGUGUAAGUAACUGUGCACAGCUUGACGGUACCUAAUCAGAAAGCCACGGCUAACUACGUG